rnacentral:lncRNA from 1 species
GAGAAGAAAACGGCGCAUCCGUUCAUUUUAGAGUCUUCUUCUACUUACACCUUCAAUUCCUAAAAGAAGCAUCGACACCUUAAGGAAAAGAGGGGAAGCUUCAGCUAUAUUGCACACUGUUGCUGUUGUUGAUGCUCGAGGAAAUCCUUUUCAAAAAUAGCUUCUUUAGUGAAUUCUUGGCUUGGUCUUUGGUGGGUGUUGAGGUAAUUCUCCCUGAAUUUGUACUUUUAUUUGCUUUAAUUACCUUGAAGUCACAAGAAUGUACAUACUUGGAUUUUGAAUGGAGUUUGCUUGUAUGUGGAAGCGCAACGUCAAAAAGUUAGUAUAAACCCAUUCUAAUUCAAGAAUUCUCUUAUGGCUUCUUUUCUAUGUUGAAAAGGAAAUAGCAUUAUAUUUUGAACCUUUCCUCUUCUCCAAUAUAUAUGUCAAUUUCUCUGUAUUUUCCUUGUCCUCUUUUUUUAUAUUUCGAAAAAUUGUGAAGAAAAAUAAGAAAGAUGCAUUAUCAAUAAUAUGAAUACCAUUUGAUCCAUGAUUAUAAGGUUUGCCAAGGUUUCUAGCUUUUGGUAAAGUUCAGUGGUGUAUCUUAAUUGAUAAAGCUGUGAAUGUAAUUAUCAAGUUCGAUUAAAACUUUUUAUUUUGUAAAAUAAUGUGAAAUCUUAAAUUACUUAGGUUUUUGAUUGUGGUUCUUGAAGACUUUGCUGAGUACUGUCUAGCAUAUAUAUAUUGUUACACUAUAAAUGCUAGUUCCAUUCUCUCGUACCUUAAUCGACAAAAUAUUUCUUUAUUUCCAAAAAACAAUUCCUUUCAUAAUCCAUGGCCUUGAAAUAAUCCUGAACAUUUGAAGUUUGCUUUAAAUUGGGUAUAAAGACCUUCGAAAUAAAUUGAGGUGUACUAUAUUUACCAAAUAUAUAAUAUAUGACUCUUACAAAUUUGAAAGUGUACAGUUGUUUUAAGCGUGCUAUCUAAAAUUACUUUCCUAAAUUCGGGUGCACAUUUAUGUGUCCCAAAUCCAACUCCCAAUGAAGUUGAAAUAUGUCAAAAACCGCGUGUGCAUUUAUAUGACGUGGUUCGUGACAUAUUUUAACGAUAUUGUAAUUUUCUUUAAAAAUAUUAAAAGCGGUAAGGUAAUUUAAAAUCGCACUAUAGGAUGAACAUGUAUAAAAAUCAGAUUCUUAGCCACUUAUUAUAGUUUAAGCGACCAUGGUAGAACCACGGGAUCCGAGGGUGCCUAACACAUUCCCUCGGGUCAACAGAAUUCUUUACUCAUAAUUUCUGGUUCGCAUACUCCAUUCGGGCAGUCGAAAAAUUUCCUCGAUUUGGGAUCUUAAAUAAACCGGUGACUUGGAACACCAAAAGCCAAACCUAUCCCAAGUGGCGACUCUAAAUAAAUAAAUAAUUUCGUUUCGAAUAAUAUUACUUUAUUGAAAAAAACUCCCUUAUACGUUUUUCCUUCGGGGUAGCCGUGUAAAAAGGAGGUCUGACAGUGAGUUACGAGAUAAAAGUGAAAGAAAGAGAAAUAGUUAUUAAAUUAUUCCUUUGCCGGAAUAUUAUUGUCUUGUUGAUUAUCUAUCUUGCAGGGAUGUUGAGAUUGUUGAUGUUGUUCCCUUGUCAGAAUUUAUUUAUUUAAUUAUUGUUCCCUUGCCGGGAUUUAAAUGUGUUAAUUAUUGUUUCUUUCCCGAGAUUUCUAUCAUUAUUUUGUUUAUCCCCUUGCCAUUUGUUUGUGAUUGUUGUUUGGGUGAGGAAGAGUAUUAAAACACAAAGGGUGAUGACGUGCUUUGUUUGUUAUUGUGAGGAAAUAAUGUAAAGCACGAAGGGUGAUGUCAUGCCGUACGAUGUAACAUUCCAUACCGAUUUUCAUUGCUUACAUGGUGAGGAAAGAGAGUAAAAGCACGAAGGGUGAUGUUGUGCACAUCUUGUUUAUAUGAUUGUUUUGUGAGGACGAGAGUAAAAGCACGAAGGGUGAUGUCGUGUACACUUUUAUUCUAAAUUUCUUUGGUGAGGAUGAGAGUAAAAGCACGAAGGAUGAUGCCGUGCAAUCGUUGAUUUCUGAUUCUUAUUGAUAUUCGAGUUAUGUUGUUUCUCCUUACUUGAUGCCUUUCUAUUCAGAACUAUUACUUCCCACACAACAUGUUUCCUCUCCCACACUGACUGGUUAUUUUCUGUAUUUCUUCUCCAUUAUAUAUAUCUUUGAACUGCACAGGUUUAUUUGGUAGUUUGGUCCUAGCCUCGUCAUUCUUCGCCGAGGUUAGGCUAGACACUUACCAGCACACGGGGUCGGUUGUGAUGAUAGUACACUUCGUACUGUAUGCAGAUCCGGGAGCAGCUUUCAGACAGUAGUUGGAGUAAUUCCUUCACUCCAUUCGGAGACCCAAGGUAGACCUGCAGGCGUCCGCAGGCCCUGGCGAGAGUCUCCUCUAUCUCUAUUUCGUGUUUCAUUUUCUUUUAUUCAUGAAAUAAUGUAUUGCUAUUUCUUCAUACCUUGUAUUUAGUAAAUCUUAGGAAGUCUAUGACACUGUGACACUAGGUUUUGGGUAUUUGAGGUUCUGAGAGUUGUAAUAGAUGUAGCUUUAACAUAUAUAAAAUGUUGACUUCUGC